AGUUUCCUCCAGUAAUAU
rnacentral:sRNA from 1 species